AUACGGAGGGUGCAAGCGUUACUCGGAAUCACUGGGCGUAAAGGGCGCGUAGGCGGUCGUAUGAGUGUGAUGUGAAAGCCCCGGGCUUAACCUGGGAAGUGCAUCGCAAACGAUACGACUGGAGUACAUGAGAGGGUGGCGGAAUUUCCAGUGUAGCGGUGAAAUGCGUAGAUAUUGGAAGGAACGUCGAUGGCGAAGGCAGCCACCUGGCAUGAUACUGACGCUGAGGCGCGAAAGCGUGGGGAGCGAACAGGAUUAGAAACCCCAGUAGUCC
rnacentral:rRNA from 1 species